GGGGGUGACUUGGUUUCGACUUUGAGGGUUGAAGCGACGGAAGCGAGCCGAGGUCUCCGGAGUCCUCGUUAAAGAGCCGGAAACACGAUAAGUGCCGAAGACAACUUCGCACUGGCUGCGUAAGUAACGCAACCCGUCUGACCGAGAGGGCCGCCUACACCAAUCGGAUCAGGCGUCGCCAACGUAGGCUGCGCCCGCCGGGAUUCCGGGACCGGCGGAGUAAGCACAAUUCUGGAUAGGGCGGAGGGAAACUUGCCGACAGAGUCCCACCGUCCGAAAGCUCGCUGUCGGCUGCGCUCGGAGAUGCCGGCGCUGAAGCCUCAGAGGACCGGGGUUCGAAUCCCCGCACCUCCACCG
rnacentral:tmRNA from 1 species